rnacentral:rRNA from 1 species
UACGUAGGGGGCAAGCGUUGUCCGGAAUCAUUGGGCGUAAAGAGCGUGUAGGCGGCUUGGUAGGUCCGCUGUGAAAACUCGAGGCUCAACCUCGAGAUGUCGGCGGAAACCACUUGGCUAGAGUCCGGAAGAGGAGAGUGGAAUUCCCGGUGUAGCGGUGAAAUGCGCAGAUAUCGGGAAGAACACCUAUGGCGAAGGCAGCUCUCUGGGACGGUACUGACGCUGAGACGCGAAAGCGUGGGGAGCGAACAGG